AGGAUAAUAGUUAAAAAUAACAUUUGAUUUGCAUUCAAAAAUUAUUAAUUUAAAUUAAUUUAUCUUA
rnacentral:tRNA from 1 species